UUAGCUGAGUGAUGUAAGUGCCUGCCUGGCAAGCAGGAGGUCAUGAGUUCGAUCCCCAGUA
rnacentral:tRNA from 1 species